rnacentral:tRNA from 1 species
GAGGGUAGAGCUCAGUGGUAAAGCGUAUGUUUAGCAUGCAUGAGGUCCUGGGUUCAAUCCCCAGGACCUCCA